UUUUGUACGUGGGAAAUCAAAGUAACGGACGAAGUCAUCAUCGUGGCUGCGUAUACGUGUAUAAGUACAAUCGACUAAGGACUAACAUAGUUAUAACAGGUUAUAACAAAAUCAUGAGCUCAUCGUAACACCGUAUCGACGACUACCCUCUCCCCCUACGACAACAACAGCCAGCUGCAGGAGCGGUAACGGCCGCGGUGGGGAUAGUCGGUAGAGCAACAGCCGCAGAGGCAGAUGUGUGAUUGGGAGCUAUCGACGUCUCUUCGGGAACCACUUCGCUUCCAGUGGUGACGUGACAACGAGUACUGUAACACGUUGUUUAUAACGAAGGAUGUAUCUCUCUCAUACGUAGUUUGUAACGAAGGU
rnacentral:rRNA from 1 species